GAAGUUGGAACAUGGACGUGUAACACUAAACUUUGCAUGCUGUUGUUUGUAUUUGUGUUGCAUUAUUUGGUAUCUCUGUACGAUUCAUCUUCUUUUGGUUUUUGUAACAGAGACUGGCAGUGAGGAUGAUGGCCUUUUGGAUCUGAGUGAAGAUGAUUUUUUUUCGUUGGGAGUUCUAGUGAUGAAGCAGAUACAAAUCAUGAAUGGACAGACAAAAGUACGAGAUUCACUAAUUAACAAACAAGAACAUGGAGUGGUGGGUGUCAAUACCAAAGGUGGAGUUGCAUGCUCAUCUCAAUGGAUCCAUUAGAGACUCCACACUCCUAGAACUCACAAAGGCCUUAGGUGAAAAGGGUGUUAUAAAUUUCUCUCAAGUGGAGCAUAUUAUCAUGAAGUGUAUGUGUAUCAUGAAGUGUAUGUGUAUAUAUAAUUAAUAACCUUUUAUUAUUAUUAUUAUUAUUAUUAUUAUUAUUAUUAUUCUUUUUGGCUCCUAAAAGACCAGCACAACCUAUAAUGUCCCUCAAGUGGUGCUCUUUAUGUUCCUACUUGAUUUUGAUUCUUGAUGCAUUAUGUGCAAGUCUUUUAGCUCAAUUUUGUUAACAACAGCAUCCAUAG